ensembl:lncRNA
CUUCCACUUGUGCGGAGGAGAAGAUGUUAGCGGUCCAGUCACCAUGGAGACUGCCUACUGAAAAUGGAGUCAGCCCUGAAAUCUACGAUGUGUCAAGGGGAGCGAGAACGAAACCUGGAGUAGUCAGAUGUCUGAACUGGGCCAUGUGUGAAUCCACCCCUGGACUUCCCAGCUGUGGCAGCUCUCCGCUUUCUGUCUAGUGGAGCUAAUUUAAACUGGGCCUUCUGUCACAUUGCAGGCCUGCUCUUGAUAGGUUCCUGGAAGAGGAUUUUGUUGGAAUGCCUUGUUUCUCUGGAAUCAGUAUGUAGCAUAUGUACUUCUGGGAGCAGUUGCCUGGACACCCAGUUUCAGAACCCAGACUUUACAGGCUAUGACAGGACAGAUUCCCAGGGAGGAGCUGUGACAUCAGAGGACACCAUGCUGUCAGACUCUCCUCACAACAAGCCAGGCCAGCCUUGAAGGGCCCCGAUGCAUACCUCUACCUGCAAAGAGCGAGACUGCCCCUUUAUCUGCAGGCUUACCCAAACUAGAUGUUUAAAUUAAAAAAAUCUGUUAUAUAAGCAAUUAAAAUAUGCUGUCUCAAUUAUAAAUAAAACG